rnacentral:rRNA from 1 species
GACGAACGCUGGCGGCGUGCUUAACACAUGCAAGUCGAACGGAAAGGCCCUGCUUUUGUGGGGUGCUCGAGUGGCGAAAGGGUGAGUAACACGUGAGUAACCUGCCCUUGACUUUGGGAUAACUUCAGGAAACUGGGGCUAAUACCGGAUAUGAGCUCCUGCUGCAUGGUGGGGGUUGGAAAGUUUCGGCGGUUGGGGUUGGAGUGGCGGCUUAUCAGCUUGUUGGUGGGGUAGUGGCUUACCAAGGCUUUGACGGGUAGCCGGCCUGAGAGGGUGACCGGCCACAUUGGAGCUGCGUAACGGCCGAGGCUCUUGGGGGGGGAGGAAGAGGGGAGUAUGGCACAAGGGGCGGAGGCGUGAGGCAGAAACGCGGCGUGGGGGAUGACGCCCUUCGGGUUGUAAACCGCUUUCGCCUGUGGGAAGGCGUGAGUGGGGGGAAGGGGUAAAAAAGCACGGGAUAAAUAUG